rnacentral:rRNA from 1 species
AACGAACGCUGGCGGCAUGCCUAACACAUGCAAGUCGAACGAGACCUUCGGGUCUAGUGGCGCACGGGUGCGUAACGCGUGGGAACCUGCCCUUAGGUUCGGAAUAACUCCCCGAAAGGGGUGCUAAUACCGGAUAAUGUCUUCGGACCAAAGAUUUAUCGCCUUUGGAUGGGCCCGCGUUGGAUUAGCUAGUUGGUAGGGUAAAAGCCUACCAAGGCGACGAUCCAUAGCUGGUCUGAGAGGAUGAUCAGCCACACUUGGACUGCGACACGGCCCAGACUCCUACGGGAGGCAGCAGUGGGGAAUAUUGGACAAUGGGCGAAAGCCUGAUCCAGCAAUGCCGCGUGAGUGAUGAAGGCCUUAGGGUUGUAAAGCUCUUUUACCCGGGAUGAUAAUGACAGUACCGGGAGAAUAAGCUCCGGCUAACUCCGUG